rnacentral:lncRNA from 1 species
AAUAUAGUGCUGACACUUCCCUUCACACAUGUUUCGCAAGAAACAGACGUUCAGCUCCAAAUUCAAUCAACAAAAAUAGGACAUCCACAUAUAUCAAUCAAAACCAUGAGAGUAACAUCGCAGAACUGAAAAAUAAUCAAAACUGAGGCAUCGAACCAUCAUGUAAGCAACAAAAUAAAAUAGAGAAAGUAGAAACUGGAUAACGAAAUUUUAAAGAGACAAAGGAAAAAUUAUUACACAUUUAAAACUAAUAGAGCACCCAGUGACGAUUAUAGCAUUUAAAAUUGCAAAUUUCAUACCUAAAAUGUGAAUAAAAAUAAAAAUAAAAGAAACACAGAACUCAAACCAAAUCGCCACAGGAACUUUAGCAACUGAACAUCGCUUGAAAUUGAAAAAGGUCUGACCCUGUUUUCGGCUCGUCCAGAUCUGUUCUCACUAUGGUUCACUUAAUUUUUCCGGACUGAAAUUCCAUGCCUCUGUUUGUAUGUGUGUGCGCAUUCAGCAACGGAAAAGAAGCAACAUCAUAUGAGGGCUUCUGAAUUAUAUCUCUUUCCAGAAGAAGAUCAAAAUUGUAAGGCGCUCGUUACAGGUCAAAGAAUGAGCUGAGCGAUGGGUGAACUGAAGAAGAUGAUGACUGGGGGGUGGGGUCAUUUUUUUGGUUCUUGUUACUGUUGACGCUUAGAGAAUUGCUGAAGCUUUCUUUACAUUUUUUGAAGAAGAAGACAAAAUCGGUGGGGGAAAGGGACCCCUGAUUUAAAUCUUCGCUCCUCCUCUCAUUUUUAGUGUAUAUGUAUAGGUCUAGGUUUUCU